AUUUGUUAAAUGCUUUUGAUUGUAUUAUUAAUUAUAAUAUCAUUUUUCAUUAAAAUUGAGAUAGUUUCUCUCGCUAAAAUUUUUUAGAUAAUUUCACUCCCUACAAAUUUUCAAGUAUUUUUCUUGUUAAAAAAAUUAUAAAGUUUCUCUCUCCGCUACUUAACACAUUACCUUUUUUCUACGGACCCAACUCAAAAUCAUGUGUAUUUUGUAGGGAACUUUGAAACUAAAUCAAAACAAAUGGGUAAAAUGUUGAGAGUUAACACCUUAGGAACAUUUUGAUAAAUUUUGAUCAUAUGCUUGCCUUGUAGCGUAUGUUUCGCCGAAUCACUCCAUCAGGUAAACUCCCAUCUAGAAAUAUUUUCAGGAUUUCAAAAUAUAGGCAUAUGACCUCCUGACAUAACUAGGCCUAAAAAAAUGAAAAACUAUAUGGAUCAAUCAGGAAGAAUACAGGAAGGUUGUGGAGAAGCAAUACAAAGUUGCAGGAGGAGGGAACUAGUGGGUGUGUUUCUGGUUGGUCCAAGAAGGAGACGGGUUUGGGUGUCUUUCUGUUGGUCCAAGAAGGAGAAGGGUUAGGAUAAUAGAUGCUCUUGUUGCAUUUUUUUUAUGUGAAUGCUAAAUUUUGAAACUGGUG
rnacentral:lncRNA from 1 species